ACUAGAAGGCUCAACAUAAAGCUAGGUGGGAAGGCAUGGGAAACCAUCACCAUAGCAAACAAGAGGAUUAACUAACACUAUAUUAGGAUGCAGGGGAGUCGAGAAGAGGCAUCCGAGCCAACUCAUUCCAUAAGUAUCAUAUCUGGCCAAAAGAUCAGAUGGCUGAGCUCUCUCAAAUGCAAAGACAAGCAAUGACAGCAGGAACAUGGAAGCAGAUGUCUUACAAGGGAACCUGGAGCUUCGAGGAUUGUGUACCAGAGUCUGGGAAAAACUGAAAGCUACUGUUUGGCAAAAGGCAGAGGUCUGUACAUCGGCUAGUAAGCUGGAGCAGUACAGUCAAGUUCAGGUCCAUCCCACAGUUCUCUCCUUCUAGAGCUGGUUGCUGCCUGAAGUUAAUUCUCUUUUCCAAAACGGUCCUGGAUACAGAAAACAGUCAGAUAUGGUUUGCCCCUCAGGAAGACUCAGCACAACGAAGAAAGACAAAGAAACACGGUAUCAAUUAAAGAAGCAGCCAAAGAAUGCCGCCAGGUGGCAGUGUCUGAGACCACUGGGAUUCCCUUCCUGCAGCAAGAGCGAUAAUGGAAAAACACCACUAUGUUAAAGCUCAGCUAGAACGUGACAACCGGCUUCCGAAGCGCAAACAUAAUAAACGUUCUCUCAUAA
rnacentral:lncRNA from 1 species